rnacentral:rRNA from 1 species
GAUGAACGCUGGCGGCGUGCUUAACACAUGCAAGUCGAACGAUGAUGCCCAGCUUGCUGGGUGGAUUAGUGGCGAACGGGUGAGUAACACGUGAGUAACCUGCCCUUGACUCUGGGAUAAGCCUGGGAAACUGGGUCUAAUACCGGAUACGACCAUCUGGCGCAUGUCAUGGUGGUGGAAAGCUUUUGUGGUUUUGGAUGGACUCGCGGCCUAUCAGCUUGUUGGUGGGGUAAUGGCCUACCAAGGCGACGACGGGUAGCCGGCCUGAGAGGGUGACCGGCCACACUGGGACUGAGACACGGCCCAGACUCCUACGGGAGGCAGCAGUGGGGAAUAUUGCACAAUGGGCGCAAGCCUGAUGCAGCGACGCCGCGUGAGGGAUGACGGCCUUCGGGUUGUAGACCUCUUUCAGUAGGGAAGAAGCGAAAGUGACGGUACCUGCAGAAGAAGCGCCGGCUAACUACGUG